CAGUAGCCGCGGUAAUACGAAGGGUGCAAGCGUUAAUCGGAAUUACUUGGCGUAAAGCGUGCGUAGGCGGUUUGUUAAGUCUGCUGUGAAAUCCCCGGGCUCAACCUGGGAAUGGCAGUGGAUACUGGCAAGCAAGAGUGUGUCAGAGGAUGGUGGAAUUCCCGGUGUAGCGGUGAAACGCGUAGAGAUCGGGAGGAACAUCAGUGGCGAAGGCGGCCAUCUGGGACAACACUGACGCUGAGGCACGAAAGCGUGGGGAGCAAACAGGAUUAGAGACCCCAGUAGUCCCUGUCUCUUAUAA
rnacentral:rRNA from 1 species